rnacentral:rRNA from 1 species
GACGAACGCUGGCGGCGUGCCUAAUACAUGCAAGUAGAACGCACAGUUUAUACCGUAGCUUGCUACACCAUAGACUGUGAGUUGCGAACGGGUGAGUAACGCGUAGGUAACCUGCCUGGUAGCGGGGGAUAACUAUUGGAAACGAUAGCUAAUACCGCAUAAUAUUAAUUAUUGCAUGAUAAUUGAUUGAAAGAUGCAACUGCAUCACUACCAGAUGGACCUGCGUUGUAUUAGCUAGUAGGUGAGGUAACGGCUCACCUAGGCGACGAUACAUAGCCGACCUGGGAGGGUGAUCGGCCACACUGGGACUGAGACACGGCCCAGACUCCUACGGGAGGCAGCAGUAGGGAAUCUUCGGCAAUGGACGAAAGUCUGGCCGAGCAACGCCGCGUGAGUGAAGAAGGUUUUCGGAUCGUAAAGCUCUGUUGUAAGAGAAGAACGGGUGUGAGAGUGGAAAGUUCACACUGUGACGGUAUCUUACCAGAAAGGGACGGCUAACUACGUG